ensembl:lncRNA
AGUCUCUUACACUCACCAAGGCCGAAUUUGUAUGAUAAAAUUAAAAACAGUAAUAUUGUGAAAUAAUAUUACAAUUUAAAAUAACUGUUUUUCUGUUUUAAUAUAUCUUAAAAUGUAAUUUAUUCCUGUGAUGGCAAAGCUGAAUUUUCUGCAGCCAUUACUCCAGUCUGAAGUGUAACAUGAUCCUUCAGAAAUCAUUAGAAUAUGCUGAUUUGGAAAUUAUUAUUGGUGCUAUGGCUCUUAUUAUUAUUGUCAUUGUAGAAAUUUUGCUGCUUAUUAUUUUUGUGGAAAAUAUUUUUAGGAUUCUUUGAUGAAUACAAAGUUCAAUGAACAGUAAUUAUUUGAAAUAGAAAAGUUGUAACAUUAAACUGCCUUUACUGUCACUUUGAUUAAUUUAUUAAAAGUGUUCUUUUUUUUGUACCUCAAACUUUUUUAUGGUAGUGUAUCAAGUUUCCACAAACAAUAUUACCACAGAAAAGUAAUAAACAUCAGUUAGAACUCCUAAUAUUGUUUCAGCCAGAAAUUCAGCCACCUGAAAUAUGAUAUUUUCUUUGCAAUCUUCUCAUUUUUCAGUAAACAGCUUGGUGGAAGACCUUAAUAAAGAGCCUGAAGGCAGCAUUGUGCCGAUAGCAGUGGAGGAAACUAGAGCUCACUUGAGAGCAGCUUUACCUCUGUCAGGUAGUUCACAUUUCAACAUUAUACUCAUUUUGUUGAAAACUAUGAGAGAGAAAUAUUUAUGGCUGGUAAAUUUGCUCAAAGCUAAAAAAUAAUUUUGGUUUCCAGAAUUCAUCUAAGAUCUAAGCUUUCUGAACUGAUGUUGUCCAUGUCUGAUUUUCCAUCAGGAGGCCUGCAGCAGGUCAUGACUCAGCUGGGCUUGACUGUGGGGGAUGAGAUUAGGUUUAAUGUCUGUGAGGUUGGUGUUGCGGUGGGUUUGCCGCGUCGGACCGUCAGAGAGUACCUUCUGGAAGGGGUUGGCAUUGAAGACUCGGCCCAGCUGGAGGCCCUAGUGUCCCUGUAUAUAGAGAAGACACAGGACGCUGACAGACUACUGAGCAGAGUGGCAGAACUCAGCCCUCGGUGGGUCCAGCUCUCAGAGAGGGGAUGUCUGCUGUUGAGGUUGCUGCAAAAAGCAGAGACUCUUCUCCGCAGCGGUAUCCACAGUCACCUGCACAGCUGGGACCACCUGCACGAUCAGGACCACUUACGCAGCUGGGACCACUUGUGUCCUGAUGACUGCACAGAUCAGCGCACCGUGUGGGCCAUCUUCAGCUUUCUGGUGUGGGACUGCAUGGCAGAGGUUCUGGAGGAGCCGGAGGCGAAGCCUAGCGGAGGCAUACUAGGUAUGAUUGAGCAACUGAGUGCCAGCGGCAGAGUGGAGGCCGCACUGCUGCAGGAAGUGGAGCAGUGCUGGACGGACGGGGACGCUGAGAGUCUGCUGCAGAGUGUGAGAGUCCUCGCUCAGGUGCUACGAGACCUGCAUCCCCUCCAGGAAGGCCUCCAGCUGUCCUCUUCAGUUGAGGGGUUGUUUUCCUGCAGGCCCAGCAGACUACACCGGGUCACUUCCUUCCAGGGUGUCUCUGUGCGGGUCAUCCGUAAAGCUCUGAGCAGCAUGGUUCCAUCCUCUGCGGACCAGGAUGCAACUCUUCUUGCUAGACAGUACUUGGAGGUGUGCGUUCGAAUCGCACGUCUCCUAGAUGUAGUGCAGCCCAAACGAACCACCGUUGACUUUUCUAAUGCAUCCAUUGCUACGGUCAUUCAGCAAGUGUGGUUUGUCUUGUCAAAUCCUGCUUUUAGCUCUGAAGCUUUUGACGCGGGAGUUCGCCAUCGCUUGCUUUCAGUGUUGGAGUUCAAUCCUGUGCAGCUGGGCUUGGGCUUUCUCAUGCAGCUCCACCAGGAGACCCUCUCCGAAUUGCAGAGCUACUUACAACUCGGCGAGCACCACAACUUCCAGUUUAUUCUCGAAUCGGUACGAAUACUUGGUCCUGCGAAGCUGUUUUCUGUCAGCAGGGUUCAUGGGCCUGUCGCCAUCGACAAUGGGGUGGAGGAAGUCCUUCGUUUUAUCACGUCAGAACCAACUUCAUUCCUUGUACGACUGCACUGCCUUUGCUACGAAGAAGGAAGGGGGCGCUUCAAGGUGUGCGUGCCACGUUGUGCAUGUAUGUAUUUGCUCAAGGCAGAAGGGCUGCGUGACAUGCAGUGGUGCGGUGGCAACGUUCUGGCUGAGGUAGGUGGGAAAGUGUGGGUCAGAGAGGGAGAAAGUAACGGCUGGGAUGAGCUACAGGCGCUGGCUCAGAGACACUCUGCUCAGCACAAGGAUGAAGGAUGCUGCUUUAAGGUCAAGACCUCUGGAUUGGAGUGCGAGGUCAAAUUUAUAUACAGGAGUGGAAGGCUAUGGGCUGUGCCACAUAGGGACUGUGAGGUAGUUUAA